UACGUAGGGUGCGAGCGUUAAUCGGAAUUACUGGGCGUAAAGCGUGCGCAGGCGGUUAUAUAAGACAGAUGUGAAAUCCCCGGGCUCAACCUGGGAACUGCAUUAGUGACUGUAUAGCUAGAGUGCGGCAGAGGGGGAUGGAAUUCCGCGUGUAGCAGUGAAAUGCGUAGAUAUGCGGAGGAACACCGAUGGCGAAGGCAAUCCCCUGGGCCUGCACUGACGCUCAUGCACGAAAGCGUGGGGAGCAAACAGG
rnacentral:rRNA from 1 species